rnacentral:rRNA from 1 species
AUUGAGCGCUGGCGGCAUGCCUUACACAUGCGAGUCGAACGGCAGCAUGAUCUAGCUUGCUAGAUUGAUGGCGAGUGGAGAACGGGUGAGUAAUACAUCGGAACGUGCCCAGUAGAGGGGGAUAACUAGUCGAAAGAUUAGCUAAUACCGCAUACGACCUGAGGGUGAAAGUGGGGGACCGCAAGGCCUCAUGCUAUAGGAGCGGCCGAUGUCUGAUUAGCUAGUUGGUGAGGUAAAGGCUCACCAAGGCGACGAUCAGUAGCUGGUCUGAGAGGACGAUCAGCCACACUGGGACUGAGACACGGCCCAGACUCCUACGGGGGGCAGCAGUGGGGAAUUUUGGACAAUGGACGAAAGCCUGAUCCAGCAAUGCCGCGUGUGUGAAGAAGGCCUUCGGGUUGUAAAGCACUUUUGUCCGGAAAGAAAUGGCUCUGGUUAAUACCUGGGGUCGAUGACGGUACCGGAAGAAUAAGGACCGGCUAACUACGUG